UAUAUUAUACACCCUGCUCCUCUCCACAAACUACAUCUUUUUUGAAUUGGUGAAUGGGAAGACUAUGUAUCAAGCAAGCUUUGUAAAAAACCUGGAAGUCAUUAUAGACAAGCUUUGUAUUUUUGAUGAGAACAAAAUUGCUGUGAGGAUGCUGCAAAAAGUGCGAGUGAGUGCCUGCAACUGCUGGAAACUGCCUUUUGAAAAAGUAAUCACCACAGCAAAUGAGUUUUCUUAUAAUGUGCAUUUCUGAUGUGUGUGUAUGCAUGAUACAUUUCAAAUUCCAUAAAAGAUAAGAAAAAUGCAGUCUGUCAAAAAUUACUACUGCAUUUUAAUUAGAUUUUUCAUGCUAUAAGCUAAGGAAUAUUUGUAGAAGUUAUUUCUUAAAAUGAGGCAAAGAGUAACAAAAAUUGUGGCAAAAGCUUAGA